CUGCUCUCUAAUGGAGGACAAGGUCAGAUUCCAUGUCAGUUUGUGUAUGCAGAGAGAAUGGAGUUAGUUGGGUAGUCCAGGCAGUUUUAUGAACGUGGACACCAGGUGGGCUGCGGCCCUGAGAAAGGCUUUAUAGAGUUGAACCAGGAAGUCUAGGAGACUCUGGUGAGACGGAAGGGGGAGGCACUGAGGUGAGGUGACCCCACUGGGUAAAAGGCCUGGGAUUGGUGUACAGAUUGCUAGUUUGUCCGCUUGCCACCCUUGACCAUUCUGCACAUGCUGCCUGAAGCCUGGCUCUAACCCUCAAAAAUCUGUGAUAGUUCCAGCCUCCUCCCUGGGUGAAGCUUCAUCUCCUAUACCUGGAAUUUUCUCUCCGACUCAACUUUCUUUUACAGCCAUCUCUCACUCCCUGUCUCCCUUGCACUGAGCCUUCCUUGUCCACUUUGCUCCUUUCUUUGACCAUUUUGCUUAUCUUCAAAGGCUGACCCUUCAACCAUCUGGUGGAUGCUAGUGGGGAUGUCUGUGGGGUAAGCCUCGUAGUGGUUAGCACCUCUCCCAGAUUACCCUGGACCUAGGCUUUAGCCUUGUGGGUCCUGAGUAGAGACUUUCCCAAGAUCCUCAGAAAUCAUCAGUGACACUGCCUUAAAGGGGUGCUGCCAGAGAGGGAGAAGCAGAACCAGGGGAUGUCCCAGAAGGGUGUCCCACCCAGAAGGUAAAGGAAAAGAGGGCAUCAGAAAGUGUCCUGUGCCAUGGGGAGGCCCAGGGAAGACUUAAAGUAGUUGACAGAUUCGGAAAAUGAGAGGCAAUGGGCAAGUUCUCCUGGGAUGAAUUCAGUGGAGAAGGAAGGAGGGAGCCUAGU
rnacentral:lncRNA from 1 species